GUCUUGAAACACGGACCAAGGAGUCUAGCAUGUGCGCGAAUCAUUGGGAAGAACUAAACCUAAAGGCGCAAUGAAAGUGAAGGUCCGCCUCGCGCGGACCGAGGGAGGAUGGGCGGACCGGGCCUAACACGCCGGCCGUCCCGCACUCCCGGGGCGUCUCGUUCUCAUUGCGAGAAGAGGCGCACCAAGAGCGUACACGCUGGGACCCGAAAGAUGGUGAACUAUGCCUGGUCAGGACGAAGUCAGGGGAAACCCUGAUGGAGGUCCGUAGCGAUUCUGACGUGCAAAUCGAUCGUCGGAACUGGGUAUAGGGGCGAAAGACUAAUCGAACCAUCUAGUAGCUGGUUCCCUCCGAAGUUUCCCUCAGGAUAGCUGGCGCUCGUCGCAUACGAGUCUCAUCCGGUAAAGCGAAUGAUUAGAGGCAUUGGGGUCGAAACGGCCUCAACCUAUUCUCAAACUUUAAAUGGGUGAGAUCUCCGGCUUGCUCGAACUACUGAAGCCGCGAGACACGGAUCAGAGUGCCAAGUGGGCCAUUUUUGGUAAGCAGAACUGGCGCUGUGGGAUGAACCAAACGUCGAGUUAAAGCGCCUAAAUCGACGCUUAUGGGAUACCAUGAAAGGCGUUGGUAACUUAAGACAGCAGGACGGUGGCCAUGGAAGUCGGAAUCCGCUAAGGAGUGUGUU
rnacentral:rRNA from 1 species